GACUCGGAGACGGACAAGAGAGUAAUCCUGGUAAACAAUUUGGAAAGUUUGAAGGUCCAAAACAACGAGAAUCCCACAGGCAAUAGAAGGGUCUUCCUUCAAGAAGCUCACAUCAACAAUCCUCAACACCACCUGAUGACCAUGUCUUUCAACACUGGAUCUGUUUCUUGAUGAUGUGGGUAGUUGCCAUUCGAAAUCAUCCUCGUCGAUCAGUCUCUUUUUAAGCGAAUGCUGAGUCUCUAGCCAACUGGGCAUCUUCGAUGUUGAUGAUUCUCCUCCACGCUACUUAUAUUACCUGAUCUAGUAGAGUAGUUUUAACAAAUCAAUGGUUUUGUGAAACUGCAAAUUCUGGGCUCUGUCAAUUGUACGCACAAAAAUGUCACUGUGUUGACCUAAGAC
rnacentral:misc_RNA from 1 species